rnacentral:rRNA from 1 species
AAUAUUGCACAAUGGAGGGAACUCUGAUGCAGCGACGCCGCGUGAAGGAAGAAGGUUUUCGGAUCGUAAACUUCUAUCAGCAGGGAAGAAAAUGACGGUACCUGACUAAGAAGCCCCGGCUAACUACGUGCCAGCAGCCGCGGUAAUACGUAGGGGGCGAGCGUUGUCCGGAAUUACUGGGCGUAAAGCGCGCGCAGGCGGCUUGUUAAGUCAGGUGUCAAAAUGCGGGGCUCAACCCCGUAUCGCACUUGAAACUGGCAGGCUUGAGUGCAGGAGAGGGAAGUGGAAUUCCUAGUGUAGCGGUGAAAUGCGUAGAUAUUAGGAGGAACACCAGUGGCGAAGGCGACUUCCUGGACUGUAACUGACGCUGAGGCGCGAAAGCUAGGGGAGCAAAC